AUAUUAUUAGCAUAAAAAAAAGAAAAAUAUGUUAAAUGUGAAAGAACGUUUCUUAUUUAGGGGCUAUAAGAGACGGGUCUUCUGGGACACGUGUUGCCCUUUGGAUGUUCAUCUCUUCGUCUCUCUUCUUCUUCUUCUUUUCGAUCGAUUCUGUUCUUCUGAAAGUUUCCGACUUUCAUUCUUAAUUUUUGUUGAAUUUUCUCCAAUCGAAGACCUUGAAAUGUGUGGCCUUGAUCGAUGGAUUGCUGACGUAAUCAGAUCAGAAUCAUCGGAUCUCGAUGUUCAAAAUCAAAUCCUAGGACGAUUGUUUCUCGACGAGUCUCUUCCUUCCUCGUCCGUCUCCUUUGUCUCCUCUAAGAGCUGUUCAGUCAGUUCGUGUCGCUUAGUCUGAAAGUCGAGUGCUUAGAAGACGAAACCGGAACAGAGGACCUCUGUUUUCGUCAGUCAGUUUAUCCAUAAAUGAGAGUAAUGGCGAGGAAGACGGAGAAGGUGGUGAAGGGUAUAAUGGUCAACACGUGUACAAGCCUCCUUCGCUGAAGGAGAAUCGAUCAGGAGCUCUCAACACCACUAAGCAUUUAUGGGUUUGCUGCCAUGGUUUCAAGGUAAUAGUUUUGGUAUCAUAGGGAUUCAUUAGUUAGGCUAAAAUCUGUAGACUUUUUCAAGUGUUUGUGGUUACUACUUAAGUGAUAUGCUCAUUGGGUUAUAGGGUUUUGGUUUGAGCAGAACUUGCAUUGCACCACUUCAGCGGAUGAAGCUAGAGUACAUUGUCUGUGGAGAGCAAAGGAGUCUUCUUGGACUCAUUCAGAGGAUUGCUACCACUGAAGGGAUUAGAGGCUUUUGGAAAGGGAACUUGGUUAAUAUUCUUAGAACCGCUCCUUUCAAGUCCAUCAACUUCUAUGCUUAUGACACAUACAGAGGCCAGCUUCUGAGAUUGUCUGGAAAUGAAGAAACCACUAACUUCGAGAGGUUUGUGGCCGGUGCAGCUGCUGGAGUAACAGCUAGUUUGCUAUGUCUCCCACUUGAUACCGUAAGUUAGAAUCACAACAAAGACUUACCUUGAGUUUGUUUGGACUAUUCCUGAGGUUCUUUAAAUUGUAGAUAAGAACGGUUAUGGUGGCACUAGGUGGAGAGGCAUUAGGCGGUGUGGUUGAUGCGUUCCGUCACAUGAUUCAAACAGAAGGUUUAUUUUCGUUGUACAAAGCCAUACUUGCCUUCAGAGAAACAGUUUUUGAUUACUAGGAAUCGGUGGCUGGCGUACAAAAUGGCAUGUUUAUGUGAAUCUUGCGGUAACAUAACCUUUUGUUUGGAUGAUUCAUUGACUCAGAUUAAGAUUCUUGUUUGUGUAAAUCAAGCUUUGGAUUCGUAUAUCUAUGAAAAUAGAGUUCAUGAGAAUAUGUUUUUGAGAUUGGAUUUUUUUAUAUGUUCUUGUCAGAUGAAGGUUUUGCGUCAAUGUUUGUUUUUGAGUGAUGUUCCCGUCAAUGUUUUGGGAGUUAUUGCCUCGCACGGUUUGGUGGGCAGUCCCAACAAUCUGGCUUCCAGUUGUCUGCUACGUUCUUUCAAUCUCCGCGAGGAAGGGACUGACAUUUCCCCGGAUCGGUUUAAUAGUUGUUUUUGGCGUACUAACCUGGACACUGCUCGAGUACACGCUUUCAUCUCUUCCUUUUCCACAUAGAAACCAAGAGCUACUGGUUAGUUCAAUAUCAUUGAUCAAUUUGAAGUUUUUUUUAUUGUGUAUUGUGGUAAAGUUUGUUGUAAUGAAAGUGUUUUAUAAUUUUUUUUUAAGAAUCCAUAAUUAAGAAACUUGCAAUAAACCAAUUAAAUGUUCAAAUCUCUUUCUAAGUUUCUUAACUCACUUUUACACUUUAAAAACUAUUAAAAAUUAAUUAAGAGACCUUGUAAGGGGUUUUGGGAUAAUGAUGCUCUUAUAAUUCAAAAUCAAUUAAUAAUUAAAUUGAGUUAACAGUUUAUAUAUUACCUUACACUUUCAGACGUGAGAUAUUCAUCCCUACAAUUUUGUGCAGAGUUCACCUCGUGGAAAUUGGAAUAAACGUGGGAACAUUUAAAGUUGCUUACUAAUUUAGUCAGAUGGUCCACUGUUUCCAGUGUGACUGAAACGAAGUGAUCAGAGUUUAGUCAAUUUGUUUCCUCUUUUUUUUUUCCAAGUUAAAGGCAAAGAACACAUGUUUCUCUCAGAGCAACCUCAUUCAUGAAUUUUUCAAUUUAGGUUUCUCAUAUUUAAAAUAACAAUAUUUAGUAUCAUGUGAUUAGAUAGUUAUAAUUUAAUUGUUUAGAAAACUCUAGUGAGACGUUUAUAUAAAAGGACACUUUAUCACUUUUGUUAACGGUAGGAGAAACAUUGUGGUAGUGGAGCACAAUGUUGGGACAGCUGUAAUUAUCUGGACAUAAAUUACCUUCCAGUUGUGAUAGGAAGAUAAUGUUUACUUUAAAGAAUCAACUGUAGAGAAACUAAAUAGUUUUCUGGUUGAAAUAAAUGAAAAAGUUGUAAAAGUAAAAGUAUGUAUAUAUGGAAAGUAUGUAUAUAUGGGUUCAUGAGACUCUUCCUGAACCGUUGAAUUUCUUAUUAGUUUCAAGAUCUAAUGGUUGAGAAUCGUUUAUCAUGGUAUAUCGUGGGUAUUGGUGUGGGUCGUAAUAAAUUUGGUUCCCUUGCAGUCAUUAGUAACAUUGUUGCAUACUUGUGUGGAUGAUGUUAUGUUGAUGCUUAUGCUUUUGGACAUGUUGGGUGUACGAGCUAAUUUCGUAGAAGAUGGAUGUUGUUAAGAUAAGCUUACUGGGACUUUUUAUGUAAAUCACUGUUUUAGUUUUUUUUUUCUCUAGAUCUGGGGACAAAGGAGAAGACGAAGAAAAUAUAUUUAUUAACAAUUGGGGAUAUUUUUCUCGAGGAUGGCAACAAAAUGUUGCGCUUUGGAUGGGAUUGGCGUGGAUGUGUGCGAAGGUGUUAUUUGCGUAUUGAAUCAGUGGUUAGGUUUGUAGUGGACACGCAGUUGUGGACAUGAGAUGAAGGUAAACAUGAGUACGCAAUAUGUUAGUUAAAUACCAAAAGAACCAUGCAUACUGAGUUCGUGGAAUUAAAAUACAUGAGUAACUAUAAGCCGAAGGGCACAUUAAGAGCAAAAACAAAAGGUGCCCAAUAAGUGUAUCAUGUGUUGCUGCAGGAGACGGGUUGCUAAGACUGUUUUGGUUGGGUGAGUUGUGGUCGGGUAAGUCAUGGUUAGGCGUCGGCUGUUCAGCAGACUUAUGGUCAGAGGUUAGGUGGACAGGUGAUGUGUGGUCAGGAGUGGAGUAGUUGUAAAGUGUGUGUUCGGGUGAAGUGUGGAUGGGGGUUGUGUGGUUGGGCGACGAGCAGUGGUGAGGAAUCAAGGAUAGGUGUUGCGGACCUUAUGUUCAGAUCACUGCUGAGAGAGGCAUAUUGCUGGAGCUCGUAUUAGCUGACUACAGGGAAUUGAGAACCGACAUAGACAUCUUCCUUCAUCUGGACAUCAUGUGUGUGAAUGUAACAACAUAAGAGCGAAUUACAUAAACUUGUUCAUGUGACUACACAAUAUGAAGAUAUAUGUGCGUCGAUAUAGACAAAAGUGUUGUGGACAAAUGAAGUUGUACGAGUUUCGUGGAUCCAAUAAUCUUGAAUAGAGAUGGUUGAAAGACAACGUGCAA